AAAACACCAAAAACCUCUCAAACUUUUUCUCUAUUCUCUCAACUCACAAAAAAGAGAAAAGUCACAAAUCACCACAAAUCACCAACACAACCACCUUGCACCACCAUCGCAAAAGCUCAGACCACCACAUUGGUCCCUCCACCACUCCCUUCCACUAUGAAGGAAGCUGCACGAGCUCCUCCCUUGCGCUUAGCGCCAACAUCAAAGCUGGUACUCCCUCCAUCAAGGCCUCGAUCGCGGCGAGCUUCUCUCUCUGUUUCGUGCAUUUAUGGCACCGGUAG